rnacentral:rRNA from 1 species
UACGGGGGGGGCAAGCGUUGUUCGGAAUUACGGGGCGUAAAGGGCUCGUAGGUGGCCAACUAAGUCAGACGUGAAAUCCCUCGGCUUAACCGGGGAACUGCGUCUGAUACUGGAUGGCUUGAGUUUGGGAGAGGGAUGCGGAAUUCCAGGUGUAGCGGUGAAAUGCGUAGAUAUCUGGAGGAACACCGGUGGCGAAGGCGGCAUCCUGGACCAAUACUGACACUGAGGAGCGAAAGCCAGGGGAGCAAACGGG